CUUAUUAGAUAAGACUAUAAGCCUCCCUCUACAAAACCAGUAAACCACGGCACCAUUUGGAUUCUGGAUUUUUAGAGUGCAGAGCAGAGGAAAAGUCAUAUAGUCUAUACCUAAAGAGCACAGAGUUGAGACGGAUCACUGAUCAGAUCGAAGGAAGCAUAAGCCACCAACAAAAGAUUUAAAAGUAGAACCAGUGUAGAGAAAGAAUGAGAGAGGCAGAAAGCAGGAGCUGAGAGAGAGAGGCAGAGAGCAGGAGCUGAGAGAGAGAGGUGGAGAGCAAAAGAGACAGAAAGAGAAGUGAAAAGCCAAAAUAACUGGAGAGAGAAAACAAAGCUUUGUGGCCUUGGGUGUAUUUGGCAGCUAUGGAAGAAAUAAAAGUAACAAAUCUGGGGAGUUCUCUUCCGGUACCUUGUGUUCAAGAGCUAGCGAAGGAGGCACUGACUACAGUGCCACCAAGAUAUGUACGGCUGGAUCAAGACCCUCCUUUUGUAUCUGACACCUCUUCGUUACCCAAAGUUCCAGUCAUCGACAUGCAAAGCUUAACUUCCAAGGAUCUCAUGGACAGGGAGCUGGAGAAGUUGCACCAUGCUUGCAAACACUGGGGUUUCUUUCAGGUCUCUCUCUCUCUGUUUGGGUUAAUCCUUUUAUACUAUACCUGAAAAGUGAAACUAUGAUCAGAUCAAGCGGUCCAAUAGAGAAUUCCUAAGCAAUCUAAUAAUUUAAAAUUUUUUUCAUUCAUGAAGUUCUUAUU